UACGAAGGGGGCUAGCGUUGCUCGGAAUCACUGGGCGUAAAGGGUGCGUAGGCGGUCUUUUAAGUCAGGGGUGAAAUCCUGGAGCUCAACUCCAGAACUGCCUUUGAUACUGAGGAUCUUGAGUUCGGGAGAGGUGAGUGGAACUGCGAGUGUAGAGGUGAAAUUCGUAGAUAUUCGCAAGAACACCAGUGGCGAAGGCGGCUCACUGGCCCGAUACUGACGCUGAGGCACGAAAGCGUGGGGAGCAAACAGG
rnacentral:rRNA from 1 species